GAUGAACGCUGGCGGCGUGCCUAAUACAUGCAAGUCGAGCGAACAGACUAUUAUCUUGCUCCUCUUACUUUAUCUUCUUACUUGUUAUUAACACUUUGAUAACCUACCUAUAAGACUGGGAUAACUUCGGGAAACCGGAGCUAAUACCGGAUAAUAUAUUGAACCGCAUGGUUCAAUAGUGAAAGACGGUUUUGCUGUCACUUAUAGAUGGAUCCGCGCCGCAUUAGCUAGUUGGUAAGGUAACGGCUUACCAAGGCAACGAUGCGUAGCCGACCUGAGAGGGUGAUCGGCCACACUGGAACUGAGACACGGUCCAGACUCCUACGGGAGGCAGCAGUAGGGAAUCUUCCGCAAUGGGCGAAAGCUUGACGGAGCAACGCCGCGUGAGUGAUGAAGGUCUUCGGAUCGUAAAACUCUGUUAUUAGGGAAGAACAAAUGUGUAAGUAACUAUGCACGUCUUGACGGUACCUAAUCAGAAAGCCACGGCUAACUACGUG
rnacentral:rRNA from 1 species